UAGGAGGUGGUGAAGACAUGA
rnacentral:siRNA from 1 species